rnacentral:tRNA from 1 species
GGACUUCUGACCCAACGGAUAAGGCGCCUGACCACGGAUCAGGAGAUUCCAGGUUCGAGUCCUGGCAGGGUCG